rnacentral:lncRNA from 1 species
AUAUCUUUCAGGUCAUCCAGAGGUGCCCAAGCCACACCAACAGAGAAGAUAGUGAUUCCUACAAUGAAAACAUUUUAAAGUGAAUUGAAAAUCAGGUCUAGCUAAUAUAUGGAAUUAUGUCUAUAUGUUUUCCAUACACUGUUACAUAGUUGCAGCGAAAACUGCUUACUAAUUUCUGGACAAUUAAAUCCCCUGAACAAAUUAAGUUUUCACAGUCAUUGUGACGAGAGUGGCAAAAGAGUGGUCCAAACCAGAAACUCUGCUAUAUCUGUAAUUCGCCACAUUAACAGGUAAGUCAUCACUGAUAAGAAAUAAUUUGAUAAAGUUCAAUAUCCAUUAAUGACAGAACACACCUAUAAACUAGGAAUAGAAGAAGACUUUUAACCUGAUCCACAGUAUCUUUUUUAAAAUCCUACAGUAAAUGCGGAUGGUGAAAAUUUUCCGUAUGAGGUUGGCCUGCAUCAAACAGUAUACUGGAGUCAGAGUCACAAUCCAUUAAAGCAAGGAAGAAUGGCACAAGAGAUGGGAUAAAACAAGGACCUUACCUGCAUCAUGUGCAGCAGCUGCAGGGCCUUGGACAUCAUCAUAGGACUGCCCAUCUGUGACAAUUACUAGGAAGUUCUUGUUGGGGCUCUCCCUUAUAGGGCCAAACACAUUUCUAACAGUGAAGGAAAUGGCAUCACCAGUAGCUGUUCCACCACUCAUAUAGCGGAUGUUUCUGAUGACAGCUAGGACAUUCUCUUUGGUGCUAUAGUCAGUGAAACUGAACUCCGUGCGCUGAUCAUAAGUAAACUGUACAGCAGCUAUCUUGGCACCAAUGUCCGAGAUUUCAAAAGUCUUGGCUAUGUUGGAAACAAAUUCAAGCAUGAGGCGGAAAUUGCUAUCUCCAACACUGCUGGAGCCAUCAAUUAGAAAGGCAAUGUUCACUGAGUUAUAACAGGUCUUGCUGCACAUCAUUUGUUCAUGAGUGCACAGCUUCUGUACCAGAGGCUUUACGUAUUUUGUGGUGCCAAACCAGUUGGGCAUGUGGUAAGAGAAGAAGCCAUUAUUCCGACAGACAGCCUAAUGGGGGAGACACAUAAAAGAUAUCCAAAAGGAUCAAAAGUUGUUUCUUCUUAAAAACUGGAAAAUCCUGAAUGUUUCAAGUUAAUCUAGAUAAGAGGCAGUCAGCACUGCACUUAGAGGUCCAAAAUGGAAUACCCAUCACUGUAACAGAAGAUAACCCUCACCACUUUACCUUGUCAACAAAUGUGACAUCCUGAACCAUCCCCAGUUCUUCAGGGAUAGGCUUGGCCACAGAAACUAUAAAUACAUUGACACCAAACUCUCUGGCCACAAUGCCUGCUUCCUCGAUGUCAUCAGAAGGCCAACCAUCAAUAAAUACCACCACCACUUUGG